rnacentral:lncRNA from 1 species
CCCGGGUGUGCUUGGUGGGGUUACCUCAGAGUGACAUGGGUUCUGAUGCAGCUCCAUUUGGGGCCACAUCAAUAUAUCAUUGAUGCAGUCAUAAAUCACUUGCAGAACUGGUGCUACACUUGGAUGUUCUCAGGUAACUUAUGAACUGUCCCUCUACUUUACUAUGUGCUUUGACGUGAUAAUCAAAAACGUGUAUUUACUUUAGAAAUUUUUAUAUUAUCUCAUUAUUUUUCUUUCCAAAUUUACAGCAACUGGUGUCAAAACAAAGAAAGAAAGAAACAAACAAAAAAAAGCCCUGACCCAACAUCCCCUCCCUCUGUACUACUGCAGAAUUUGUGUGUUUUCUGUAAGGAUGCAUUUUGCUGGAAGCAUAAUCUGAAGGUACUUUCCAGAAAUGCCAGCAAGUGUUUGACGCAUUGCUUUAAUUUGUUGUGGCCAUUAUGGUUGCUAUGAUAUUCUUGAAGCUUCCAAGGGAUGACCCUGACCUGUGUUUGAGCACGGCCAGUUCAGACAUCUUUUUGGUGGUGCUGACAAAAUUAAAUUUGCUGGCCCAAGUUGAACAAGUUACUAUUUUGGUACAUGAGAGCAAGUAACCCACCACACUAGAGGAGACUGUCCCUUCCUCUGACCUGCUGUCGGGAGAAAAGCAAAGGCAGGAGGAUAUUAGUGAAGGUGAGCCUGCUGCAGGAAGGAAGCCUUGACACAAAAAUGUUUGUGGAAAGGGAGACAGAGGCUCCCGAUGCCUUUCUUAAUGCUCUAUCGACAUGUCAAUUCUGUUAGCCUUUAAAUAUAUACAUAUUUAUUGGCUUUGCUUUGCAGGAAGACAUCGGUGCAGUUGCAGGAAAUCUACUGCUGUCACUUUAAUGAAAUUUGCUUUCAUCAUGAAAGGAACUGGCAAAGGUUUGGAUUUGUGGCAUCUAAACAAGCUAAACAGAAACUGUGCCUCAGGGAGAAACAUCCUCUCAAGUAGUUGA